GGGUGAUGCCCUUGUCGUCACAAUGAGCUAGAUCCGGGGCGGUUUCAGGCCGUUGACAGUUCCGGAAACGAAAUCUUCGUUCCGGGGGAAGUAUGGUUGAAAGCUGAAACUUAAAGGAAUUACGGAAGGGCCCCGAGGGGCCUGCGCUUUAAUUUCUCACCACGGGAAAACUCACCCGGCCCGGCCGUGAGGAUUGACAGAUGAUAGCUUUUUCAUGAUUCGUGGUUGGUGGUGCAGCCCGUUCUAGUUCGUGGUCGAUUUGUCUUGGUUUAUUCCGAUAACGAGCGGCUCCAGCCUACUAACUAGUGCGGCCGUUGCCUCUGCACUUAUAACUUCUUAAGGAUUGGCUGCGCCUAGCGACGAAACGGAGAAUACAGGUCUGUGAUGCCCUUAGAUGUCCGGGCUACGCGCGCUACACUGUCAAGGAGCGUGCUUCUCCACCUCAAAGGAGCCGGAACCCUUUGAAAAUUUGCCUUAUUGGGAGGAAAUUGCAAUUUUUCUCGUGAGAGGAUCUCUCUCUCUCUUU
rnacentral:rRNA from 1 species